GACGAACGCUGGCGGCGUGCCUAAUACAUGCAAGUAGAACGCUGAAGAGAGGAGCUUGCUCUUCUUGGAUGAGUUGCGAACGGGUGAGUAACGCGUAGGUAACCUGCCUUGUAGCGGGGGAUAACUAUUGGAAACGAUAGCUAAUACCGCAUAACAAUGGAUGACACAUGUCAUUUAUUUGAAAGGGGCAAUUGCUCCACUACAAGAUGGACCUGCGUUGUAUUAGCUAGUAGGUGAGGUAACGGCUCACCUAGGCGACGAUACAUAGCCGACCUGAGAGGGUGAUCGGCCACACUGGGACUGAGACACGGCCCAGACUCCUACGGGAGGCAGCAGUAGGGAAUCUUCGGCAAUGGGGGCAACCCUGACCGAGCAACGCCGCGUGAGUGAAGAAGGUUUUCGGAUCGUAAAGCUCUGUUGUAAGAGAAGAACGAGUGUGAGAGUGGAAAGUUCACACUGUGACGGUAACUUACCAGAAAGGGACGGCUAACUACGUGCCAGCAGCCGCGGUAAUACGUAGGUCCCGAGCGUUAUCCGGAUUUAUUGGGCGUAAAGCGAGCGCAGGCGGUUAGAUAAGUCUGAAGUUAAAGGCUGUGGCUUAACCAUAGUACGCUUUGGAAACUGUUUAACUUGAGUGCAGAAGGGGAGAGUGGAAUUCCAUGUGUAGCGGUGAAAUGCGUAGAUAUAUGGAGGAACACCGGUGGCGAAAGCGGCUCUCUGGCCUGUAACUGACGCUGAGGCUCGAAAGCGUGGGGAGCAAACAGG
rnacentral:rRNA from 1 species